GGAAUAUGAUGAAUGGUUAAAACUUUUAAUGAUAUUCCGAGAUGAGUGCCUGCCCCAAGCCUGGUUACGACACAAGGGCACUCUCAUAGUUACCAAUCUUAUCCC